rnacentral:rRNA from 1 species
UGACUACGUCCCUGCCCUUUGUACACACCGCCCGUCGCUCCUACCGAUUGAAUGGUCCGGUGAAGUGUUAGGAUCGUGGCGACGUGGGCGGUUCGCUGCCUGCGACGUCGCGAGAAUUCCACUGAACCUUAUCAUUUAGAGGAAGGAGAAGUCGUAACAAGGUUUCCGUAGGUGAACCUGCGGAAGGAUCAUUG